AGGGUUCGAUUCUGGCUCAGGAUGAACGCUGACAGAAUGCUUAACACAUGCAAGUCUACUUGAAACACUUUCGGGUGUGGAUGGUGGCGGACGGGUGAGUAACGCGUAAAUAACUUGCCCCCUAGUCUGGGACAACUGUUGGAAACGACAGCUAAUACUAGAUAUUAUGAGAUCUUGGCAUCAAGGACUUAUGAAAGCUAUAUGCGCUAGGGGAGAGAUUUGCGUCCUAUUAGCUAGUUGGUGAGGUAAUGGCUCACCAAGGCGACGAUAGGUAGCCGGCCUGAGAGGGUGAACGGCCACAAGGGGACUGAGACACGGCCCUUACUCCUACGGGAGGCAGCAGUGGGGAAUAUUGGACAAUGGACCAAAAGUCUGAUCCAGACCAAUUCUGUGUGCUUGAUGAAGGCCUUCGGGUUGUAAAGAGCUUUAAGUAGGGAAGAAGAAAGUGACGGUACCUACAGAAUAAGCGACGGCUAAAUACGUGCCAGCAGCUGC
rnacentral:rRNA from 1 species